CCCCGCGCCGCAGCCCUAGGGGGCGGGUCCGGCGCCGGAGGCCGGGAGCUGCGCCGAGCCGCGCCGCUCGCGGAGGGGGAGGCCGGAGGCGGCCUCCCCGCCCCCCACCCUGGUCAGGGUGAGGGGGCAGUGACAGGUGUCUCGAGGCCGGACCGUCUGGCCGAGGCAGCAGCAAGGAGAAGCUGGCCCGGAUGCCCAGAGUCACGCCGGCCCGCAAGACCCCUGCCACAGAGAAAUCGGCCGGCCACGGUCGCUUCCCAGAACGAUUGCACCACUGCGGCUGCCGCCGGCCUGGCGCUGCCCCCAAGCCUCGCAGUCCUGGCAGCUUGGAGGGGAGAACCCUGGGCCGGAUCCCACAGACCCAGAGAGCUUUGAGUAACCCGGGAGGAGCCCUGGAGGAGGGGAGCCUUGUUCCACUCCACUCCGGGAAGGCGGGCUGUGAUCCUGCUGAAGUUGCCACAGCUGAUCCUGGAGGAGGGGAGAGAGGUGGGAGAAAGAGAAGAGGGGAGGCAAGACAGGAGCUUGCUCCCUGCCACCCUGACCCACACCCCAGGGUCUGGGGCUUCAGAACUUGAUGAACGGAGAGUACGCAGGAUUUGGAGUCAGAGAAGGGCCCCAGACCAGGUCAGCCUGGGGCUGGGCUCUCCUGUGCCACCUUCCCUUCGCAUCCCUGGCACCCUGGAAAGUGCUUUCAGCGUUGGUCUCAGACACCCAGCUGUAAACUCCAUGAAGGAACUGGUGGCUUUGAGACUGUUCUACCACUUAAUUAGCUAAUCUCGGGAAAGUGACGGAACCAGUGACCACUCAUAGGGGACACGGCCGUGCUCAGAAGCAGGGAAGAAGCUACUCAUAUCCAAUAUCUGUACCAUGCGUUACAACUGAGACGCUUCACUUAAGGGUCAUUUUCACCACCAAUAUUUAUCUUGAUCUUUGCAACAAAACAAAUGAGGAAACUGAAGAACAAAAGUUAAAUGACCUGAAGUCACGCAGCCUGUGAAUGAUGGAACUACAUUUUUUUCAUUGUGGUAAAAGACACAUAGCCUAAUUUACCCUUUUAACUAUUUUCAGUGUACAAUUCAGUGGCAUUAAGUACAUUCACAAUGUUAUCCAGCCAUCACUGUUGUCUGGUUCCUGAGCUUUUUGAUCACUCCAAGGAACUAAAAUUUGAACCGAGAUUGAUCUAACUUCCAAACCUGUGCAUGCUACCUGUAAUAAUUCACAGCUGCGUUAAGUAAACGUAUACUGGAAAUGAAAGUAGUGGAUUGAAUACCACGGAAUUAUGUGGUAUAAACAGGAAAUGCAGCAGGGAUUCAGAAAAGGGAGCAUCAGUGUGGACCUCUGCCUGCACUAGCCAGGAAAGUCCUUCUGGACAUGUGGAGGCUUCAGUGAAAAGUCAGGUUUAGAUAGGGGAGGAAUGAGGAUAGAUAUUCCAGGCAGGGUAAGUGGCACAAGCAAGGAGAGAGGGGUGACUGAAGAGAAGGGCUCGUACAAUGACGACUGCAGAGUUUCUGUAUCAGAAGAGUUCAGGGUAACCAUCUGGUUAGAAGGUGGGGCUGGUGGGGAGACUAAGUGACAUGGCUUGAAGUGAUAUUUGCAGAGCAAGCCCAGUGCUUUCAUUUCCAUUGUAUGUCUGCUUGGAAUGCCUUGAGGAGAGCAUUAGCCCCUACCACCACCCAUUGGCACCACCCUUAUGCAAAAAGCUGGUACUCAGUAAAGAAUAUUUAUUACAUGGCUAACUAGAAAUUCAACAGGGGAGAAGGUGCAUACAUGUGAGAGCUUGGGCAGAUGAGGUGGAGUUAGGUCAUGGGGGAGGAACUUGGAUCUUAAGAUAAAGUAGGCAAUGGGGAGCAGCUGCAGGUUCUUGAGCAAGGGCAAGACUAUGUGAUGAAAUUGGAAUUUAGGUUUUCAAUGGUUUCUCUAUUUCUUCGUUGCCUGAGAGCGCCCCCCUGGUGUCCCUAGGUUGAAUUGUUCCCUCAUCUCAGGGAGCGGGCAGGAGGAAGGGGGCACUGAAAAGCAGCAUUGACGAUCGGAGAAGCCAGACCCUUGGGCCUCAUUUCAAUUCAUCCUGAGUGAUGACAGCACUGCAGUGAAAAUAGAGGUGACAUGUGGACAGAGAGGGUUUGAUGUGAAGGAAAAGGCAUUGUGGUGGUUCCCCUCUCUGUCUCGUAACUCUGAGCUGGGAUAUUGUGUCAGGUCCUAAGCUGGGGGCUGGAGAUAGGAUGAUGACUAAGACAGGUCUAUGUGCGUGAGAAACUUGUACUCUAGUGAAGGGGACAGACAAGUAAACAAUUAUAAUACAACGUGUCUAGCGUGUAAGUAGGCACAUAAAACAGUUACUUAACUUAGCCCGAGGUGGUCAAAGAAGGCUUCCUGGAAGAACUGACCCCUAGCUUCAUUGAAGGGACCAUGGUAAGUAACCAGGUAAAUGGGAUGUGGCAGCGUGCUAUGUGCAGGAGAUUACUAGCAGUUGGUUAGUAUCUGGCAAGGGAGGAAUGAGUUUAGUGAGGGAUGAGGCCGGAUUACAGAGGAUUUGUAAACCAUGGUAAAUUAUGUAGAGCGAUGGGGUGUGUCUGCAUGGUUUUAAGCAGGGGAGCACCCGCAAACCAGUUUAGAUCCAUCAGAGUUCAGGCCCCAGAGCGACAAAACCAAAGGUCCCACUUCUAGAGUCCUAUUUCCCUUCCCAGGUCUGUCCUGUCCCUUGGGUGGCUGAGGUUGGAGACAGCCGGUCCCUUCUGGGGGAGGCUGCCUCUACACGUAGGGUGUGGCCUUAUUUUAACUUUCAACAAGCCAGUCCAUCUGAUCAUAAAAAUCCCUUACUAGAGUGAAAGAUAAGCACUGGGGGGGAACCUCUUCUCUUAUUUCACCCCCAUGUGACAGAUCCUCAUGGCAGCUCCUUCCCACAUCUGACUUGAGAUAAGACACAGCACUUUGAAUCCCCUCUAAACAAUCCUUGAAUAAACUCCAUGCAGUGGAGUACUAUGCAGCUGUUAAAAGAAUAAGGAUGAUCUCUAUACACUGGUAUGGAGUAAUUGCCAGAAUAUAAUUUUUUAAAUUUCUUUAUUCAUUUAUUUUUAAAGGUUGGCACCUGAGCUGACAUCUGUUGCCAAUC